UGAAUUGAUUUUAUAGUGGUGGCCAUGUAAUAGAUUACACAAUGCCACAAAAACAGAAGAGCUAUUAUAGCCUUCUUCAAGUUUGUCCUCCUUUAUUUAUUUCAAAUGAAUACCAACAUUUCCUGAUCCCCUUUCCUUUAUUUCUCAUUCAGGUUGAUAUAGAAAGACGUGCCUGCUGUGGACAGUCCACAAGGAACGGACUUUAUGUCUGUUGGAGUGACAUCACAUUCAACCACACAAGAGAGCUUCACACCCCUGAGUUUGCAGCUGACUAGCCCUCAUCAGACAGCGGCAGGCACAAAGUCUUUAACAUCUGGGUUUUCCUUGCCCUGGCACCCACAUGGACACUACAUCAGUUUCCGAGAACACAAGCUCGUCUGCAAUGGAACCAGUAGGUUUCCAGAGGGGACACACGGUGGUCACAACAGACAGAUAUCCCCCCCAUUCAAAAGAUAACGAGAGAGUCCCAUGCGGAUGUUUAACAUCAGUUCGACACCUGGCAUAAAUGUAAAGGUUAGUAGUCGAUGAGGUCAAAUGUUUAUUCAACAUACAACCUUUGUCUGUGACUAGACUGUAUUGAAUUAGCUGAUUAGCCUUGAUUUACUCUGCCACGUCAUCCUUCUCUGUUGAAAAAAUAGGACUGAAGAAAUUGGUGGCUCUGGCCAAUGUCAAGGACUUCAAAGACUUUAUGCCUUGGGUGAAGAGUAUCUGCAAUCAUCUGUGGUGGAGUUGUAGCUCAUGUAGAGAUAAAGAGAUAAAUAUAUAUUUUAUUUAAGUAGGCAAGUCAGUUAAUAACAAAUUGUUAUUUUCAGUGAUGGCCUACCUCAGGACAAUUGUUCGCUGCCCUAUGGGAGCUCCCAAUCACAGCUGGAUAUGAUGCAGCCUGGAUUCGAACCAGUGUCUAAGAUGCAGUGUCUUAGACCGCUGCGUCACUCAGGAGCCCAUAUAAAUCAAUAGUGGAACUGUAUAAAGCUGGUCUCAAACCACUUUGAAGUGUUUGUGACUGCAUCAUCUGUCCCCGCUGGUGCCAAGAGGUCUAGGGCCAUACAUCUGCACAGUCUAUCAGGAGCCAAUAACCUUUCUCACCCUGACAGCUCCCACUCUUUCACCACUUCAUUUUCCAGAGCUGUGUGCAAAUAUGAACAACACUUGUCUGUUGAACUCAUGCCUGUUUGUGAUCAGAUGUCAUUUUCAGGAGUUAAAGUGCAGGUUCAAGUCAAUGCUCCAUCACAUCUGUGGGGUCCUUCGCUGGGAAGAAAAAGGAGUGGAACACCAAUGUU
rnacentral:lncRNA from 8 species